rnacentral:lncRNA from 1 species
AGACAGAGAGAUGCAGAUUAAAAGUCGGAAAAUAUACAAAAGAUUGUUUAAAUACGAAAAGGGAAAGCCGAAAAUUCAGGUAUCGUCUAAGCCAGCUCUCCAUUGCUCCACAGCAGAGCUCUCACUGCAAGUUCAGCAUUACAUGGUCCAAAAUAUUAACUAAAAGACCUUAAGAUUUAUCCCAAGUGUGGCUGAUUCAUUAGCCUGUCCUAAGCGGUUGAAAUAAGAAGUCACUCCUAUCAGUUUUGAGUACAAAUCCAGAUUACGUCUCUGAUGAUAUCUUUAGGGCCAACCCACGAUAUUGAAAACCAGACAAAACACACCAUAGCAUAACAUUCCAGAUUACGUCUCUGAUGAAAUCUUAAGGCCAACCCACGAUAUUGGAAACCAGACGAAACACACCAUAGGAUAACAUUCGAGAUUAUCCCCUACAACGAGCUUCUGAAGUAGAGAAGUCAAUCUCGUAAAGGUAAUACAAGCACCAGUUACUAUGAGUUCUUGAUAUCUUGAAUGACCACCUGAGCUGCAUUACGUCCGGGAGCACCCAUUACCCCUCCACCUGGAUGGGCCCCGCUCCCGCACAGAUACAAACCUCGUACUGGAGUCCUAUAAUUUGACCUGCAUCCAAGAUUAAAAAUAAAAUUACUGUAUCACAGUCUGAUAAAAGCAAAUAUUUAAGCAAGAAUAAAUGAUAGAUAAUGCUUGAGCAUCAGAAUUAUUAUCCUUUCACUGGUCGCAUAAGAAAGAGUGAAUCUAAUCCCAUGGCACCAUGAAAAAUGUUUCCUC